rnacentral:rRNA from 1 species
UAGAGUGCAGUAGGGGAGACUGGAAUUCNUGGUGUAGCGGUGGAAUGCGCAGAUAUCAGGAGGAACACCGAUGGCGAAGGCAGGUCUCUGGGCUGUAACUGACGCUGAGAAGCGAAAGCAUGGGGAGCGAACAGGAUUAGAUACCCUGGUAGUCCAUGCCGUAAACGUUGGGCACUAGGUGUGGGGGACAUUCCACGUUUUCCGCGCCGUAGCUAACGCAUUAAGUGCCCCGCCUGGGGAGUACGGCCGCAAGGCUAAAACUCAAAGAAAUUGACGGGGGCCCGCACAAGCGGCGGAGCAUGCGGAUUAAUUCGAUGCAACGCGAAGAACCUUACCAAGGCUUGACAUAUACUGGACUGCGUCAGAGAUGGCGUUUCCCUUCGGGGCUGGUAUACAGGUGGUGCAUGGUUGUCGUCAGCUCGUGUCGUGAGAUGUUGGGUUAAGUCCCGCAACGAGCGCAACCCUCGUUCUAUGUUGCCAGCACGUGAUGGUGGGGACUCAUAGGAGACUGCCGGGGUUAACUCGGAGGAAGGUGGGGAUGACGUCAAAUCAUCAUGCCCCUUAUGUCUUGGGCUUCACGCAUGCUACAAUGGCCGGUACAGAGGGUUGCGAUACUGUGAGGUGGAGCUAAUCCCUAAAAGCCGGUCUCAGUUCGGAUUGGGGUCUGCAACUCGACCCCAUGAAGUCGGAGUCGCUAGUAAUCGCAGAUCAGCAACGCUGCGGUGAAUACGUUCCCGGGCCUUGUACACA